rnacentral:rRNA from 1 species
CUACGGAGGAUCCAAGCGUUAUCCGGAUUUAUUGGGUUUAAAGGGUGCGUAGGCGGAUUGUUAAGUCAGUGGUGAAAGGUUGACGCUCAACGUUAACAUUGCCAUUGAAACUGGGAGUCUUGAGUGCAAAUGAGGCAGGCGGAAUGUGUUGUGUAGCGGUGAAAUGCAUAGAUAUGACACAGAACACCAAUUGUGAAGGCAGCUUGCUGGAAUGUAACUGACGCUGAGGCACGAAAGCGUGGGGAUCAAACAGGAUUAGAUACCCUGGUAGUCCACGCAGUAAACGAUGAUUACUAGCUGUUAGCGAUAGAAUGUUAGUGGCUAAGCGAAAGCGAUAAGUAAUCCACCUGGGGAGUACGUUCGCAAGAAUGAA